CAGACAACAGCACAAAGGGCAAGAAGGUAGAGACAACAAUACAUCACACAAAGCAGACACAACUGUCAGUAAGAGUCCAUGAUGGAGUCUUUGAACUGUCUAGUCUGAGUGUUUGUUGCAGCUCGUUCCAGUCGCUAGCUGUAGCAAACUGAAAAGAGGAGCGACCCAGGGAUGUGUGCGCUUUGGGGACCUUUAACAGAAUGUGACUGGCAGAACGGGUGUUGUAUGUGGAGGAUCAGGGCUGCAAGAAUACAUCUAAAUGAGAAGAUCCUGCCAUGGAAAAGACGACUGGAUGGACAGGAAGUGGAAAGGAGGGGAAAUAACUCCCACCAUGCAGCAGGACACCUUCAGCUCUUCAGAUGGCCAAGGAAGUAGCACAGAACAUCCCCAACAUCCCCUUCCCAAAUUGAUAUAGAACCUUCACAAAAACACAUGGAGCAACAGUGAAAAGAAAUGGCUGAGGAUACACUAAAAAUGUCUGAGUUCAACAAAGCCAACAACUGCUUCAUGUGUGCCACUGAUAAAGAACCUGGAUGUGGCCCAAAGACUGACUGGACUGAAUGUUUUGCCAACGGUGGUUCCAUGUGCUGUGCCUAGGAAUGAAGACAAGAGUUCAGAGUGAAGAACACAAACUGGAAGUGCAGUCUGUUGUUUAAAAUGUAUGCUAUACCCCAUCCACACUGAAGAGGCUCUGACAUGUACAUCAACCAGGGAUAAAGAGGAGGUUAACACUGAA
ensembl:lncRNA